UACGGGGGGGGGUAAGCGUUGUUCGGAAUUACUGGGCGUAAAGGGCUCGUAGGCGGCCAACUAAGUCAGACGUGAAAUCCCUCAGCUUAACUGGGGAACUGCGUCUGAUACUGGAUGGCUUGGAUUUGGGAGAGGGAUGCGGAAUUCCAGGUGUAGCGGUGAAAUGCGUAGAUAUCUGGAGGAACACCGGUGGCGAAGGCGGCAUCCUGGACCGGUAUUGACACUGAGGCGCGAAAGCCAGGGGAGCAAACGGG
rnacentral:rRNA from 1 species